GUUUUAUACAUUGCAUUGUACCGGAGAGAAGGUAUACAUUUAAAUAGGUUUUGCAGUCAGAAAGAGAAGGUGAAUACUGGGACAUAUCUGUAUAACAUGGAAUCCUAUAUAUCAGAGGAUAAAACAUUUUUGGGUCAUCCAGCACAUCUGUGAGAUUAAGAUAAACAUUUCAGUUUAAAUUAAUAAUAGCACCUUCUUGGGUGGUAGUCAGAAGCAGUUAAACAUUUCAACCAAACUUUUAAUUAGCAGAAAGUGAAGAGUUCUUUACCUUGAAUUUGACCAGAAACAUGAAUGACUGACACAGAACAGCAGAUAAGCUGUUGGAGGGAACCUCUGAACACCAUCUGGUCCAGCCUCCUACUUUAUGUGUGCCAACAACCGAUCAGGUCGGCAGUGGCUUUUCCUGGUCAUGUCAUGACCUCCAACGAUGGAAAUUUCACUGCAUCCAACUAAUAGGUUUCCAUGUUGUACCGAAUUCCUAGUAAAACAUUUUUCCUAAUAUCCAGGGUGAAUCUGCCAGGUCUUCAUUUGCAGCUGUUGCCCUGGGCUAUACUGUUUUACACAGCUGUGCAUCUCUGUUCUUUAUGAGCACCUCCCCAUUAGCACCUGUAGAUGGUAUGAGACUGCCCCUCAGCCCCUUUUUUGCUGGGCUACACCAGCCCAAUGCCCUCCCUCUCCCCAUGUGCUGCUAUCUGUAGCUCUCUGAUGGAUCCAUGCUAGUUUUUCAGCAGCCAUUUUGAAGUGGGAGGCCUCAAAAAUGGACGUAGAAAUCCAUGACAGCCUCACCAGCACCAAGAAGUUUUCAGCUCCUCGUGCUUCUGAGGAAGGUGAAGGACGAGAGGUGCCUCCUGGCGAGAAUCCUGCUGCCUCCUGGGGUAAUGGUGUGCUGGCUGCUCCCCCCACAUGACAUCCUUACAGGGCCAUGUCUCGUGCUGGUAUCUCUUUCUAUAGGGACUCAUUUGUGUUGCCUACAUCGCGUGCUGGAUUUAGAAGCCCUCCAGUGUUACCAUGGCAACAGUUUCUGCUUAAGUAUAGAAAAAUUUCACAGCAUACCAGAGAAGAGCAACAGCUUUCAGCCUGUUGGAAAAGGCAGUGAGGGACUGGUGGCUGGAGCCAACCAUACUGAUGAGACCCUGCUGCAUUGGGAAGAGUGGAACUAUCUGCCCUGUUUGGCAGGAUGCUCCUGCUCCUCUCACCUAUCAGCCUGUGAGGAAAUCUAG
rnacentral:lncRNA from 1 species